AUUGAACGCUGGCGGCAGGCCUAACACAUGCAAGUCGAGCGAGCGGCGGACGGGUGAGAAAUGUAUGGGAAUCUGCCUUAUGGAGGGGGAUAAAUACUGGAAACGGUAUCUAAUACCACAUACCAUCAGGUGUGCCCAGAUGGGUUUAGCUAGUAGGUGGUGUAAUGGCUCACCUAGGCGACGAUCCCUAUCUGGUCUGAGAGGAUGACCAGCCACACUGUAACUGAGACACGGUCCAGACUCCUACGGGAGGCAGCAGUGGGGAAUAUUGCACAAUGGGCGCAAGCCUGAUGCAGCCAUGCCGCGUGUAUGAAGAAGGCCUUCGGGUUGUAAAGCACUUUCAGCGAGGAGGCGUUACUCGCAGAAGAAGCACCGGCUAACUCCGUGCCAGCAGCCGCGGUAAUUC
rnacentral:rRNA from 1 species